rnacentral:pre_miRNA from 1 species
AGGAGGAACAGCCCCAGUGGCGGGGCAGCUCUGGAAGCCUGGAUUCAGCUCCGGCAGGAACUCCGUCUGCAGGGCCUGGAGGCUCCGGGCGGGG